ACACUCGAAGGAAGUUGCACGCCAAAUGCAAAACCUCCAGCGAGCUGGAUUUCUUUGCACUUUUUUUUUAUUAUUAUGAUUAAGGAAAGCAGGGGGCGGCAGGCUUAAAAGCAAGUUGCAGGCGAAAUAGUAAGUUGCUGGCGAAAUAUAGCCCCCCUUCCGAAACUCCUGACCUCUUCUUCCACCCCGGCCAGGGCCCGCGUCCAAGUUCCCGGUGCAGGCCCCACCCCCGAAUCUUGACAUUUGCUGCCCUCGACUCUGUGCGUUGCUCACCCUAUCACGUUCAUAGGACCCCUGCCCCUACAAAUAAAACAAAAUACAGGCAGCUUUAAAAUGCCAGCGUUCAACUCCCUACAGAUGUUCCUGUUAGGAGCUUCCCCCUCAGUCCAAGGGGAAGGGAACUCGUGGUCCGUCCUGAGAAAGGAGAGGGCCGUGGGGCGAGGGGUGCCCGUGCGGGAAGCCCCCGCCCCAGCUCCCUUCCCCAGCUCGCCGCGUCGGGAAGGCUUGGACGAUGCCGGGACCGAGCCUCCUACCUUGUGCGGCACAGAUUAUGAUUUUUGUGACUCUGGGAAAGGUUGUGCUGUGUGGGUUUAGGGUUUGGGGAGGUAACUUUUGCGCCCCCACAGGUGACAUCGCUUGCCAGCUCCUGACACGGGCGGGGGCUGCCGCAGCUCCACCUAAUCCUGCUCGGGCGCUCGGCCACAGCCACUCUCUCACCUCCCGCCGCGCUCAGACUGACGGCGGCUCCCCCUGCUCUGACAUCUUGAAGACGAUUGGGGAAGCGCGUCCCGGAAGCCGCCCGCCGCCAUCUUGGGUAAACGGUUCCCUGUGCAUUGUCUGAUGUGAAAGGAAAGAAGUAGGCUUUCAGCAAGCCUCUUGUCCGGAGACGAUCUACGGGGGCCGCCUCCAGAGGAUUCUGGAGCCGCCAUCUUGGCAAAGGAAGAGAUACUCGCCACCUCGGAAAAGAAGAGGGAACCAACCGUAUGCCAACGUAGAACCCUCAGCCAGAAGAAUUUUUAUGAAGGGCGCUGAGCAACUCCAUGUUAACAAAACCCCCUUCUGGACCCAGAAGGCAGACUCCGCUUCUCCUGUCCCUUGGCACAAGUCAACUAGAAGGAGGCCCUUGCUUUGGAUGCUCAUCUGUGAGGCUAUGAGAACACUGCUUGACCUAGUUGCCCGUUUUUCCAAUUUCUGAGCCUCAAGCACUAGAAUGAGAUGUCUUUCGUUAAUUUGGCCCCUAAACUACCAACAGUUUCAUGGGAAACAAAUCAAGACCCAACCCUACAAUAAUGUUUUACACGUUUUAAAAGUGAGUUAAAUAGCCCAUGCUAAUAAUUAUCCUUGUACACUGCUUAAAAUGAUUAAGAAUUCUAUUUAUAUAUACAUGUAUGUAUACAUAUGUAUACACAUAUAUAUUAUAUACAUAUAUAUGUAUAUAAUUAAGGGGACAAUACAGUUGUCUAAUAGAACACAUCUCCCCAUGCCAUUAGCCUGUCUCACUGCUGAAUCUCUGCUCUAAGAAUCCACCUCAUCGCUCAUACAUGCUCAAAUCCUUAGUGGUAGGUACUCUGCUUAAAUAAUUUAUGAUUUCACAAGAGUUCCCAAUUAUUCUCCCUUCAUUUUUUUUUCUCUGCAGAUCUUAAUGGGGAAGAAUACGUAGUUUUAAAUAUGCCAUUGAAAACGUUUUUAAUUGAGCAAAAAAAAAAAAAAACUUAUCCUAAUUUCUCUCUUCAGCAAUCUAAAUGUGCCUGUUAAUUUUUUAAUUUGAUAGCAAAAAAAUUCUCAUUCUUUAGUCUUUCACAUUCAUUUGGAAGCAUGCAUGAACUAUAAGUUAACCCCUCUUUUUCAGAGUAAUACAAAUAGUUAUGAUUUGUGGCUAACAUUUAUUGAUCCCCACUCUUCUGCUGCCCACUUUUGCUGACAACAAUUAAAUGAGAUAGGUAUUGUUAUUCGAUUUUUCAAUAUGAGGACAACAGGCUUACAGAGGUUGAUGCUUGUCUAAGUUCACAUGGCUCCUAUGCAUUAAGAGAGGAAUUAGACAAUAUUAAAGUGGUUUUCCUCACUGAUCUCAAUCAUUAACAUGAAGUAGUAUAUCAAUUCUGAUAGACUACUUACAAUAUGUGCUUACGGAAUUUAAUUGAAGAGAUGAACUCCAGUGUGCCAGAAAGGACGUGAGAUUUAGCAUUAUAAUAAUAACACAAUUCUAACGAAAGUCAACAUUUAUUGCGCAUCUGCUGUCUGACAGACACUAUUGAAAGUGUUUUAUGCACAGUAUCCUAAGUCUUUAGGUAUGGCAUUUACUAAUCUGUAACCCUGGGAACUUAUAAUUACUACAAGAAAUAGGAUGAAUCCCUAUCUGAGUGGGAAGGUAUUUGAUUGUCUUAGAAGCAGAGGUGGAAAUGAAGGUGAUGUAUUCAGACUCAGUCAAGGCAAGGACCUGAUCUAUCUUGUCAUAGCUUUAUGUCCCACUCCUGGAACACAGCCCACUACAUAGCAGGCACCCAACAAAUACAUUACAGGGUUAUAAUAACAUUGAGUCAACUAGUUAACUAGAUGUAAAAUCACUUUUACUGGGUUAUUGUUGUGGCCAAAUGGGUUAAUAAAAAGUGUACAGAUAACCCUCAAGAUCCUCAUUUUUAUUGUUUUGUGUUUAAACAUCUGAGUGCUCCCCCCACUU
rnacentral:lncRNA from 10 species